UACGAAGGGGGCUAGCGUUGCUCGGAAUCACUGGGCGUAAAGGGCGCGUAGGCGGCCGGCCAAGUCGGGGGUGAAAGCCUGUGGCUCAACCACAGAAUGGCCCUCGAUACUGGACGGCUCGAGACCGGAAGAGGUUGGUGGAAUUGCGAGUGUAGAGGUGAAAUUCGUAGAUAUUCGCAAGAACACCGGUGGCGAAGGCGGCCAACUGGUCCGGAUCUGACGCUGAGGCGCGAAAGCUAGGGGAGCAAACAGG
rnacentral:rRNA from 1 species